rnacentral:lncRNA from 1 species
UUCUUAUUCGUUUCCUUUUAGUGCUGCUUGUUGCUGACGUUUCUGCCCAAACAUCAUGAAAUGUGGAGAAGAAAGAACACUCAGAUGUGCCCUGGAGACUUUCCUUUUAUUUUUAAACAGGUUUUUUUUCCAUUGGGUUUGACCAACUCUAUAUUCGACUUGAACAAAUCCGAAGGAAAGCUUCCAAUUAUGGGGAACAAGUCCUCUGAAGUGGCUAAAUUCCCACACACACAAAAGAAAAGGUAGGGUGGUGGGGGGGAGAAAAACAGCCAGCAAAAGGAAAAAAAAAAUGAGUCUAUGCCCAGGACCACCAGAUAAUUGAGUCCUGUACAAAAGCUUCUGACUAAACAAUGUGCUCUGGCUCAGGACUAUACAGAGAAAAGACACAGUUUUUAAAUUGAUCGUUCAAAAGGAAACAUAUUUAUGAUAUUUGCUCCAUGAUAUGUAUCUCUCAUCUGUUAGCUCAGGCAGAAUUAAAAUGCUAGACAAUAAU